AUGUUAGCUAGCUUGUGUUGUAGUCGUGUGACGAUGUUAGCUAGCCUGUGUUGUAGUAGUGUGACGAUGUUAGCUAGCUUGUGUUGUAGUAGUGUGACGAUGUUAGCUAGCUUGUGUUGUAGUCGUGUCACAAUGUUAGCUAGCUUGUGUUGUAGUCGUGUGGCAAUGUUAGCUAGCUUGUGUUGUAGUAGUGAGACGAUGUUAGCUAGCUUGUGUUGUAGUCAUGUCACAAUGUUAGCUAGCUUGUGUUGUAGUCGUGUCACAAUGUUAGCUAGCUUGUGUUGUAGUCGUGUGACAAUGUUAGCUAGCUUGUGUUGUAGUAGUGUGACGAUGUUAGCUAGCUUGUGUUGUAGUCGUGUCACAAUGUUAGCUAGCUUGUGUUGUAGUCGUGUGACAAUGUUAGCUAGCUUGUGUUGUAGUAGUGAGACGAUGUUAGCUAGCUUGUGUUGUAGUCGUGUCACAAUGUUAGCUAGCUUGUGUUGUAGUCGUGUCACAAUGUUAGCUAGCUUGUGUUGUAGUCGUGUGACAAUGUUAGCUAGCUUGUGUUGUAGUUGUGUGACGAUGUUAGCUAGCUUGUGUUGUAGUAGUGUGACGAUGUUAGCUAGCUUGUGUUGUAGUCGUGUCACAAUGUUAGCUAGCUUGUGUUGUAGUCGUGUGACAAUGUUAGCUAGCUUGUGUUGUAGUUGUGUGACGAUGUUAGCUAGCUUGUGUUGUAGUAGUGUGACGAUGUUAGCUAGCUUGUGUUGUAGUAGUGUGACGAUGUUAGCUAGCCUGUGUUGUAGUAGUGUGGCGAUGUUAGCUAGCUUGUGUUGUAGUCGUGUGACGAUGUUAGCUAGCCUGUGUUGUGCUAGUGAGAUAAUGGAGACGGCAGCAGCAACUGUUAUCAACUUCAAAGUGGCGUUAAGCUACCAUAGGUUGUGUAAACAGUGUGUUUCUUGUUUUGUUGGUUGCGUUAUUUUAUGCUGUGUGUCAUAUUGUGUCCAUGCCGGCUUACAGCAGUGGAGGCUCCUCAGAGGAGGAAGGAGAGGACCAUCCUCCUCAGUGAAUUUAAAUAAAAAAUAA
rnacentral:lncRNA from 8 species